CCACAGGCCCCUGUGGCCAUAGCCGCACCUCUGAGGGGACUCAGGCAGCCAGGCAAGCCAGGAAGAAAGCAUCUCCAAACCUCCUCCAGAAUGGUCUGCAGGGGACACAGCUGUACCAAAUCAAGUUCAAGUCCUUCCUCUGAACAGCUUUCUGUGGUCAUCUGGCUGUCUCUUAGGAUGGAGAGCAUCUGGUGGUGCUGGUGGUAAAGAACCCGCCUGCCGAUGCUGGAGACAAAGGAGACGUGGGUUCAAUCCCUGGGUCGAGUCAAAUGAGACCUGCAGAAAAUCUCUGCUCAUGUGGCAGUCCUUUGGCCAAGACGCCCUUUACCUGUGAGCUCUUUUCACCCUGGGAUGGAUUCCUGAAUCUCUUGACUCCGUGGCCUCUGUCACCCACCCCGAGGGGCCACACGAUCCUGCCUCUGCGGAGGUCCCAGCCAUCCCUACCGUUCCUCUUUUGCCUGCGACAAAUAUGGGACUGGCACUUCAGCAGGGGAAAAGCAGCAGCAGGAGUUGAUCAAUUCCUAAGCAACGAAGAUCCUGUUUUCAUGCAAACGUCCUCGGCAUUAAAACAAAAACAAAUUCUUCCCAGGGCGCGUCCUGGAUGCCAAGUCUUCUUGCAAGACACAUUAUGAAGCAAGGUUUUGCGCCUGCGUGAGAGUCUAAGGGGGGGCCUGGGAGGAGAACUGCGUGCCAAGCGCUGUCUUGAUAUGCUCUCCUUUUAAACUUGCAGCCACUCCAUGAGCUAGCCACAGUCUGCUCUGAAUUUGACAGAUAAGGAAACAGAGAGAGAUGAGGGAAUGUGUUCAGGGUCAAUCAGCUGGCGAAUGGCAGCCCAGCACGUGACCAGGUCUGCCUGAAGCUGUACUGUUUUGGAUAGGGACACAGGUUAUCCACUGCGACUGUAUUCACCUUACAGAGACGAGGGGGAUGACCACGAGCAUCUCAGAUGACGAUGGGCAGAAUCUUUUUUUUUCCCCUUAGUGUGCUUUUCCCAUCACAUAAAUAAAAAGUGUGCUUUUCCCAUCAAAUAAAAAGAAAGGAUGGUGCCUGGA